CACUGGCUGUAACCAUUUAUGAGAAAUAAAGCUCUCCUUUCCAAAUUUAUGAACCUUGUCAUUUUCUUCAGUUAACAUAAUUGGCGGCCUCGACAAGGAGAUCCAGGGAGACCUCCGGUUUCCCCCAGAGUGACCAGAAGUCAAUGCUCUGACAUCUGCACAGGCACAGUGACAGCUUAGCUGUCUCCCAACCUUGCUGAGAGGAAUUCCGCUGCCACAGGAGGGGAUUCGGCAUCCACCAAGCAGGCAAUGACAAUGACAAUGCCCUGGAAAAGGGGGAGCAAUACAUGGAAGACACUGUGUUCCCUGAGUGACCACGUGGAGCAGGGCUGACCCACUGAUGUGGAUGGAUGGCUUAUCUGGAAACAGGCACAAAAGAGAGAAAUAAAUGUUCUUUAAGCCACUGUA